ensembl:snRNA U6 U6 spliceosomal RNA
GUGCCCACUUCGGCAGCACAUAUACUGCAAUUGGAACAAAACAGAGAUUAGCAUGGCCCCUGCAUAAGGAUGACAUGCAAUUUCAUGAAGCAUUCCAUAAUUUU